rnacentral:sRNA from 1 species
UGCUUAUGUAUGGUGGAAUGUUGAAC